AGAGAAGCAAGACUGUGAAGAGGAGCCAAACUCAAAAACCGGUCCCAGUUCGGAUUGUAGGCUGCAACUCGCCUACAUGAAGUCGGAGUUGCUAGUAAUCGCGGAUCAGAAUGCCGCGGUGAAUGCGUUCCCGGGUCUUGUACACACCGCCCGUCACACCAUGGAAGUUGGGGGCGCCCGAAGUUGGUCGGGAAAUAGAUUACCUAAGGCGAAACCAAUGACUGGGGUGAAGUCGUAACAAGGUAAC
rnacentral:rRNA from 1 species